rnacentral:rRNA from 1 species
UCGGGAAUUUUGCUCAAUGGGCGCAAGCCUGAAGCAGCAACGCCGCGUGAGGGAUGAAGGCCUUCGGGUUGUAAACCUCUUUUCUCAGGGACGAUGAUGACGGUACCUGAGGAAUAAGUCACGGCUAACUACGUGCCAGCAGCCGCGGUAAUACGUAGGUGACCAGCGUUGUCCGGAUUUACUGGGCGUAAAGAGCGCGCAGGCGGUCGUUCAAGUCGAGUGUGAAAGCCCCCGGCUCAACUGGGGAGGGUCACUCGAUACUGAUCGACUUGAAGGCAGGAGAGGGAAGCGGAAUUCCCGGUGUAGUGGUGAAAUGCGUAGAUAUCGGGAGGAACACCAGUGGCGAAGGCGGCUUCCUGGCCUGUUCUUGACGCUGAGGCGCGAAAGCUAGGGGAGCAAACG